rnacentral:rRNA from 1 species
GACGGAGGAUGCAAGUGUUAUCCGGAAUCACUGGGCGUAAAGCGUCUGUAGGUGGUUUAAAAAGUCCACUGUUAAAGAUUGAAGCUUAACUUCAAAAAUGCCGUGGAAACUUUUAAACUUGAGUAUGAUAGGGGGUAGAGGGAAUUUCCAGUGGAGCGGUGAAAUGCGUAGAUAUUGGAAAGACCACCAAUGGCGAAGGCACUCUACUGGGCCAUUACUGACACUGAGAGACGAAAGCUAGGGGAGCAAAUGGG